rnacentral:rRNA from 1 species
UACGGGGGGGGGGUAAGCGUUGUUCGAAUUACUGGGCGUAAAGGGCUCGUAGGCGGCCAACUAAGUCAUACGUGAAAUCCCUCAGCUUAACUGGGGAACUGCGUGUGAUACUGGAUGGCUUGGAUUUGGGAGAGGGAUGCGAAUUCCUGGUGUAGCGGUGAAAUGCGCAGAUAUCAGGAGGAACACCGGUGGCGAAGGCGGAUCUCUGGGCCUUACCUGACGCUGAGGCGCGAAAGCUAGGGGAGCGAACAGG